AUUGUCAGGUGCAGCUCUGAGAAGGUGUUGGUGGUGCCUCCGAGAGACGUCCGGGAAGGGGCCGUCUCCAGGCUCAGGUGGUUCAUGUGUCUCAGCACAUUGAAGAUGGAAAGCAAAGGUUCUUCUUAGUUAAAAACACAACUCAUAAAACAAGACAACUACCAGGAAACUAAAGAGCAGAUGAAAUGAGAAGAUGUGACUGUAAUUCCUACACUGGCGGGGGGGAGUGCGCCUGGAAUGCAGCAGGGACCCAACACAUCAUAUGCACAGAAGAAAUUGUGCCAGUGACUGCAUGUGCUUCCCCAGACACACAGGAAAGAAAAACUAUGUCAUGUGCUGCAGGUAAAAAAAGUGUCAGCAUUGCCUAUAUAAGAUGCUGAGAGGAAAAAUGAGCUGGAAGGCACAUCUGCAGCCCCAGAUCAAAUUUUCACUUCACGCUGAUAAGCUCGAGUGUGUAAGAGGUGAGUGUUUACGGGUGAAAAUCACUUUUCUCUUGUUCAGUAAAGCACCAACUUUAUUUGUUGAGCACUUGCGGGGGCGUCUCUGCUGCUUCCCAGCUCCCGGGGACGUAACGCCGCGCGGGGCCGAGCGGGACGGGACCGCGG